AGUUUAUAGUUUAUCACAGGAAGAACAUGGGAGAAUUGAAGUAAUACAGGGGAGGAUGUGAGGAGACACAGCUAUCAAGUAUGUGCCGUCCUACAGGAUAAGUCCAUCUGUCUGCUGGAAAUGCUGCUCCUAUCCUACAGUGGCAUGGACUGUGGACACAGAUGGCCAUACCUCGGUGAUGGAGUGAUGCAGUUUAUCUUAACUGUGACGUGGAGAAGACAUAGAAGAGAUAAUCAUGGGUUACCCUGAUGGCAAGCUUCAGUACAAGAAACAGAGUCACUGAUGCCUGAGUUACCACAUCCUUCCUGGGAAUUGAAACCAGGUUUUCUCUGCUGCCCAAGAGGAGAGGGUGCCCGAAUUGGCCUUGCCCCACUAUCACACUGAUGAUUAUCCCGAAUAUCACCAUAGAAUCUUCAUCAGGCGAGGGAUGGAGGUAGUGACAGAGACCCUCAUCAGAGCAACAGACUAACCUCCCAAGGUCCAUUUGAAGAGCAGAAGGAGGGAGAAGAUGAGCAAGGAAGUCAGGACCUUGAGGGGUUCGUCCACCUGCUGAGACGGUGUGCCUGAUCUAAUGGGAGCUCACCAAAUCCAACUGGAUCAGGACUAAAAGAGCAUGUGAUCAAACCAGCCUCUCUGAAUGUGGCUGCCAAUGGGGGCAGACUGAGAAGUUAUCGAUAAUAGCACUGGGACCAGUUUCUACUGCAUGUACUGCCUUUUUGGGACCCUAGUCUAUUUGGAUGCACACCUUCCUAGGCCUGGAUGGAGGGAGG